UCCAGACUCCUACGGGAGGCAGCAGUGGGGAAUAUUGCACAAUGGGGGAAACCCUGAUGCAGCAACGCCGCGUGAAGGAAGACGGGUUUCGGAUUGUAAACUUCUAUCAAUAGGGAAGAAAGAAAUGACGGUACCUAAAUAAGAAGCCCCGGCUAACUACGUGCCAGCAGCCGCGGUAAUACGUAGGGGGCAAGCGUUAUCCGGAUUUACUGGGUGUAAAGGGAGCGCAGACGGCAGUGCAAGUCUGGAGUGAAAGCCCGGGGCCCAACCCCGGAACUGCUCUGGAAACUGUGCGGCUAGAGUGCUGGAGGGGCAGGCGGAAUUCCUAGUGUAGCGGUGAAAUGCGUAGAUAUUAGGAGGAACACCAGUGGCGAAGGCGGCCUGCUGGACAGUAACUGACGUUGAGGCUCGAAAGCGUGGGGAGCAAACAGGAUUAGAUACCCCUGUA
rnacentral:rRNA from 1 species